rnacentral:misc_RNA from 1 species
GAUGAAGAACGUAGCGAAAUGCGAUAAGUAGUGUGAAUUGCAGAAUUCAGUGAAUCAUCGAAUCUUUGAACGCACAUUGCGCCCCAUGGUAUUCCGUGGGGCAUGCCUGUUCGAGCGUCAUUUACCCCAUCAAGCUCCGCUUGGUGUUGGGCGUCUGUCCCGCUUCGCGCGCGGACUCGCCCCAAAGGUAUUGGCAGCGGUCGUGCCAGCUUCUCGCGCAGCACAUUGCGCUUCUCGAGGCACCGGUGGGCCCGCGUCCAUCAAGCUCACCCCCCCAGUUUGACCUCGGAUCAGGUAGGGAUACCCGCUGAACUUAAGCAUAUCAAUAAGCGGAGGA